AUUUAUUUGAACUUGAAUAAAAAAAGAUAUUUUUCUAUAAAUGUACAAAAUAGUUAUAUUUAUUAUACAUAUGAAAAGUAGAAAAAAUAUGGCUCAAAUUAUCAUGUUUGUUUAUGCUCUUCUCAUAUUUUUUUCUCUAUAUUUUGGUGCAACAAAUGGUGGUAGGAGUCGUAAUCACGGUCGCAUUCCUUGCGUUGAAGACAAUGAUUGUCCAAAGAAGACUUUACCUUUAGUUAUGAAGUGUAUUGACCGUCAUUGUCAAUAUAGAUUGAUAGCCGAGGAUUAAAUUUAAAAAUAAGGUUUAAAUAGUCUUUUCGUCCUUAUAAGUUGGUGUAUUUUUGUUUUUAGUCUCUAAUCUAUUUUUUUAAAUAGUCCCUGAAUCUUAAUUCUUUUUUCAUUUUAGUCCUUAAAUUCAAAAUCCACAGAAAAAUCUACAAGUUUCCUGCGAAUUUUUCUUCGACUUUUCUUGCGAAUUUAGAAUCUAUAGAUUUUCUCCAAAUUUUCUUUCGAAUUUUCCUGUAGAUUUUAACUUUAAAGACUAAAACCCAAAAAUUUUUAACAUUCGGGAGCUAUUUAAAAAAAUUAGGGAGUAAAAACAAAAACACACCAACUUACAAGGACGGAAAGACUAUUUAAGCCUAAAAAUAAUCAUAUCACUUUUAGGCAUAUAACUUUAUUUAUAUUUUACAUUAAAAUUAUACUGAUGUUUUUUAUUUUUAGAAUUUUAUUUUUGAGUCAUACAUGUAAUAAAUUAAUGUGUUUGGACCAUUAUAUAACUAGCCAAAUUAAAGUUAUAUAUUUAAUGUAAGGUUUAUGACUAAGGAUAUAAUUGUCAUGAAAAAUAUUGUGUAGAUACCAAAAGUUUUAUGUUUAUUUUAUGAUGGGUAAAAUUGGAAUAAAAAAACUUGAAUAAUCAUGACCCAUAAUGGAAGGGCUUGAGAUUCAAAGCUUGAAUAAUCAUGACCAUUCAUUGAAGGACGUGAGAUUCUUAUAAAUAAGGGGUUAUAGUCCCCAAUUAUAGACAAUAUAUACACUAUUAUAAAAUAUUAAUCAUCUUUAUUCCAUUGGAAAUUUCAAGCAAAGAAAGUAUGGAAACCUAAGGCACAAAUUGGAGAAAAGACAUGUCUUGAAGAGUUAAAACCUUACUCAAAUAGUUAUGUUACUUUUGGAGACGGAGCUAAAGUAAGAAUCAAGAGCAAUAUGCAAAUUGUCAGUCCAGGUUUCCCUUGCCUUGAAGAUGUGUUGCUAGUAGAAGGUCUGACUGCAAAUUUGAUCAGCCUCAAUCAACUACGUGAUCAAGGUCUUAAUGUAAAAUUUAACAAGUUUAAAUUUAAAUUUGAUAUGCAUCAAUCAACAAGUUACGUUAUUUAGGUGCUUUUAUUUUGUUUCUUUAGCCUUUGUAUUUGGGUAUGUUUUGUUUCUUUAUUCUGGAUCUAUAAUGGCUUGAUAGCCUUAUGGUUUUUUUGCCAAUAACAAAGACUAUAUGU